UAAGACGGAGGGUGCAAACGUUGUUCGGAAUCACUGGGCAUAAAGCGCACGUAGGCGGCACACUAAGUCAGGUGUGAAAGCCCCCGGCUUAACCGGGGAACGGCUCCUGAUACUGGUGUGCUAGAGGACGGUUGGGGUGAGUGGAACUCCUGGUGGAGCGGUGAAAUGCGUAGAUAUCAGGAGGAACACCGGUGGCGAAAGCGGCUCACUGGACCGUUUCUGACGCUGAGGUGCGAAAGCUAGGGUAGCGAACGGGAUUAGAUACCCCGGUAGUCCUAGCCGUAAACGAUGGGCACUAGGCAGGGGGAAUGCCUAUGGUUUUCUCUGCCGUAGCAAAUGUGUUAAGUGCCCCGCCUGGGGAGUACGCUCGCAAGGGUA
rnacentral:rRNA from 1 species